rnacentral:lncRNA from 1 species
UCCAAGAAACACUACAAUGCUUUCCACUUCUUAAUAAUACUCCACCAUCACUAAUAACAACAACAUGUAAUCCCGCACUAUCCUAAAUGACAGGACAUAAUCAUACUAUAAUCCAAAUUCUGGAAUUCUUCACCAUUAACUGCCUUCACAUUACAGUGUUUCACACAAACACAUACUCAUUCUCUUUGCUGAACUACAAUCAGAUUUCAGCAUUCAAUCUU